AGGUUGUGGUCAUCUGAAAUUCUGAAUCGGAGAUUAGGGUUCAGUAUUUUAAUAUACCAUCACGCAAUCUCAAUUGAUCUGGAUAAUCAAUUCAAUCAAGCAGGCUACAGGGGAAGGGCAAUCAGGUUUGUUUGUUUGAUUUAUUGAUCCAAUUGUGAUUUGAAGUAUGAGACAAUCACUUUCUCUGUGAUCGUUUAAUUAUGCAAAUUCAUUUAAGUGAUCAGGUAGUCUUGAUUAUUUUAUUCGUUUAAUUGCAACUGGGUUUGUAAUCUCCUCGCAAGAAUGGGAAUCCUAGACUUUUCAUCAUCAUGGAACUUAUAAGCCAUGACCAGGUCAUAACCUGUGAGCUCAAAAACCUCCUGGACCAUCAUGUCACAUAGCCGUUCAAUGCUGCCACUAGGCAGAGACUGUAGCCUAGCUAUCGCUUUGCCUGCGUAUUUGUAAGACUGUAGAGAACCCGCAUCUGUCGUUGGGGUUUCAUUAGGCAUAACGGGGCUCGAAAUCUAUGAUCAAACUACCCGUUACCCGAUGGAUAAUCGCAUAAAACGGCUUCCCGAGUUUUUUACAGUGGACCAAAUGGGAUUUGGCAAAGACUCUGCCACACCGCCAACUCGACGCCGUAUCACGGUUCUGCUAAACUACUUGCUGAAACAUUUUAUUUGUUUAUCCAAUUCAAGUCCCAGACACGCCUUCACGCAUCGCGUACCGCCACUAUCGUUUCUGGGUUUUCAAAAGUUACGUCACCAUUUGGACAGGGGAAUCAAUUCAAGGAUAAUUUUGCAAAUUCUUCUGCUCAAGAUUUGGAUUUUGCAAUGCCAUUGGGUAAGAGCUGGACUAAAAUCACUAAUAAGGUAGAUCCAGUGUUCAUUAAUGGAGCGAUAGCUUUUGCAGAAAGGGGUAAAACAUAUGUUGAUAGUGAAGGUAGGAUACAUUGCCCGUGUAAAAAGUGUGUGAAUGCAAGAAGACAUGUUCCCACAGUCGUUGCUGAUCAUAUCAUCUAUAAUUGUUUUGAACCAUCAUACAAUGUAUGGAUUCAUCAUGGUGAACAUCUUCCGAGUUAUGAAACAGAUGAUACAGAUAGUGACUAUGAAGAAAGUGAAAACGAAUCAAAUGACGGUGUCAAUGAGUUACUUGAUGAUGUUUUUCCUACGGGCGACGAAUCUGAAGCUGAAAACUUCAUGGACGGUGUCAAUCUACGUAAUAACCCAAAGGUGGAAAAGUUAUUUGUCGAUAUGGAGAAGCCUUUAUACCCCGGGUGUGAUAAGUUUUCUGUACUAGGCUUUUUACUAGAGUUGAUGAACGUGAAGGUAACAUGCAAAAUGACAAACGUGUCAAUGGAUAUGAUUCUGAAUUUAUUUAGUCGGGCCUUCAAGGAUGCGCAAACUUGCCAAAAAACCAUUAUGAGGCGAAAAAGUAUUUACGUACUCUUGGACUAGGAUACGAAUCUAUUCAUGCUUGUAAACAUGAUUGUGCAUUAUUUUGGAAAGAAAAUGCAGAAUUACAAAAUUGCCCCGUGUGUGGCACUAGUCGUUAUAAGGAAAAUAGUAAAGGGAAGAAAAAACCGGUAAAAAAUUUGCGUUACUUUCCCAUCACAAGUAGACUUAAGCGCUUAUAUGCCUCAAGACACACUGCUAAGGAAAUGUUGUGGCAUGAUAAAUACAGAACCAAAGAGGAGGGGGUUCUUAGACAUCCAGCAGAUGGAAAGGCAUGGAAACACUUUGAUACAAUGUUUCCUGAUUUUGCAAAGGAUCCUAGAAAUGUUCGCCUAGGGCUUGCAAGUGAUGGUUUCAAUCCGUUUGUUGCAAAGAGUCUCUCCUAUAGUAUGUGGCCUGUUGUGCUCAUAACAUACAAUAUGCCUCCUUGGAAGUCUAUGGUCGAUGCUUCAUUUAUGUUGACAUUGCUGAUUCCUGGAAGCGAUUCACCAUGUAAUGAUAUUGAUGUAUUUUUUGCGUCCACUAAUAGAUGAGUUGAAACUUCUGUGGGAUAAGGGUGUUGAAACAUAUGAUUGUGAAUCAAAACAGAAAUUCAACAUGCGUGUUGCACUUCUAUGGACAAUUAAUGAUUUUCCUGCGUACAGUUAUUUGUCUGGAUGGAGCACGAGUGGAUAUAAGGGAUGUCCAAUAUGCAAUGAAGAUGCGAGCAGUAUACGUUUACGAGAUAGAAUAGGAUAUGUAGGUCAUAGGCGAUUUCUCCCGACCGAUCACUCUUGGAGGAAAGCACGAGAUUUUAAUGGACAGAGAGAGACUAGGCUUGCACCUAAAAUUGUCAACGGAGAUGAUUGCUUACAUCAGUUGAAACAUCUCCCUAUACAUCAGCAUGGAAAACAUCCGGAUCAUGUUGGUAAAAAGAGAAAACGAAACUCACAUGAUAUAAACUGGUCAAAGAAAAGCAUCUUCUUCGAACUCCCAUAUUGGCCUAAGUUAUUGAUUCGUCACAACAUUGACGUGAUGCAUGUGGAAAAAAAUGUGUGUGAGAAUGUGUUGGAAACCCUAUUAAACAUAGAAGGAAGGACGGAAGACACUGACAAUGCCCGACUAGAGUUGGAAGAUAUGAACAUACGUAAAGAGCUUCACUUGGUUAGAAAGAAUGAUCAUUGGGUUAAACCACAUGCUUUGUAUGUUUUAACUCGAGAUGAGAGAAAACAAUUUUGUAAUUUACUUAGCUCUGUGCGUUUCCCAGAUGGGUAUGCUGGAAAUUUAGCUAAAAAUGUGAUUACUGAGCAAGGUAAGGUACAUGGGCUAAAAUCACAUGAUUGUCACGUCUUAAUACAACGCCUAAUUCCUAUUGCAAUCCGUCACUUUAUGACAAAACAGAUUCGUGAGGCAUUAGUGGAGUUGUCUCAGUUUUUCAAGAAACUUACUCAAGUCACAUUACACGUGAAUGAGUUGGAAGCGUUGCAAAAAGAUGUAGUUAUGAUUUUGUGCAAGCUUGAACGUAUAUUUCCCCCAUCAUUUUUUACAGUUAUGGUGCACUUGUGUGUGCAUCUUCCUCAAGAGGCUAUUUUGGGAGGACCUGUACAAUCGAGGUGGAUGUAUCCAAUCGAAAGAUACCUUGGCCAUUUAAAAAAAUAUGUUAAAAACUUAGCUAAACCCGAAGGCUCGAUAGUAGAAGGUUAUGUUGUUGAAGAAGCUAUAACAUUUUGUUCACACUAUUUACGAGGUGUUGAAUCCAAGUUAGACAAACGUGAUAGAAAUGAUGACAAAACCUCUAGUGAUGCUCAAAGUUGUGCGUUGGAUGUUUUUAGAUUGAAUGGUCGAGGUAUUGGGAAGAAAGAAGUACAUAUCCUUCCUAGUAAUCUUAUGAAAAAAGCAAUAUGGUUUAUCUUCAACAAUUGUCAAGAGGUUCAGCCGUACUUAGAAGAACACUUGCGGUUUUUACAAAUGCAACAUCCGGAAUCAUCAGAUUUUUACGAGAUGCAACAGUCUACAUUCUCGACUUGGUUUGCAAAACGGAUUCAAGAGAUGUAUGCGCUAAAUCCAUCUCAAAUUAAUGAAGAGUUAUAUGCAUUGUCUUGCCUUCCUGAUAAUCGGGUAUCGUCACACAGGGGUUAUAUCGUGAACGGGGUAAAAUUUAUAGUUAAGUCAAACGACGACGGUAGACAAACACAAAAUUGUGGAGUUACGGUACCUGGCGUUCAUAAUGAUAUCGAAGAUGACUAUUAUGGAUUUCUUGACGAAGUCAUUGAAUUGUCAUUUAUAAGAGGUUAUCGUAUUAUAUUAUUCAAAUGCACAUGGUUUGAUAUUGAUUGUCGAAGAAAGAACGUGAUAUUUGAACCUCAUUUUAUAAGCAUAGACACGUCUCGGCAUGCUUACAAGGAGGAUCCUUUCAUCUGUGCAAACCAGGCUAAACAAGUGUUUUAUAUAAAUGAUCCACUUAAACCAAAUUCACAAUAGAAAAUCAUUGAAAGAAUUACCCACAUACACUUGUGGGAUAUUCCAGAAGACAAGAAUGCAGAAGAUUUGUUAGAAGAUGUCAACCUUCACCGUAAAGAUGUUGAAGAAGAAAUUGUUGAAAAUGUUGAUGUUGAUGGCACUAUAGAUGAUUUUAUCAAUGACAAGCUAGAUGAUUCUGAUCAUAGCAUGGAAGAUUUUGGUUCAAAGUCAAAUCUGGAUGAUUCAGACACUGAUAAACCCAAUAAUGAAAUGGAAAAUGAUGAGACAGACGAUGAUGAUUGGUAAAAGUGAGAAGUAUCAAGAAAGGAAUUACAUUGAAGGAAAAAAGUAGAAGUAUCAAGAAAGGAAUUACAGAAGGAUGAAUUUGGAAGAAGCUUAUCUUAGAGACUUGUGCUAUUUGGACUUAUGAAGGUUGUUGAUAUGUUGUAGUAGGUUGAUUUGGAUGCUAAUGAUCUUAUUUUGUACUUUGUUGAACUUUGAACUUGUUUUAUAUUUUGUUAAAAUUGAU